rnacentral:rRNA from 1 species
GACGAACGCUGGCGGCGUGCCUAAUACAUGCAAGUUGAACGCUUCUUUCUUAUCGAACUUCGGUUCACCAAGAAAGAGGAGUAGCGAACGGGUGAGUAACACGUGGGUAACCUGCCCAUCAGCGGGGGAUAACACUUGGAAACAGGUGCUAAUACCGCAUAAUGCUUUUUCUCACAUGAGAGAAAGCUGAAAGGCGCUUUUGCGUCACUGAUGGAUGGACCCGCGGUGCAUUAGCUAGUUGGUAGGGUAACGGCCUACCAAGGCAACGAUGCAUAGCCGACCUGAGAGGGUGAUCGGCCACACUGGGACUGAGACACGGCCCAGACUCCUACGGGAGGCAGCAGUAGGGAAUCUUCGGCAAUGGACGAAAGUCUGACCGAGCAACGCCGCGUGAGUGAAGAAGGUUUUCGGAUCGUAAAAACUCUGUUGUUAG